rnacentral:rRNA from 1 species
AUUGAACGCUGGCGGCAGGCCUAACACAUGCAAGUCGAGCGGAACGGCGGACGGGCGGGUGAGGCCUAGGUAUCUGCCUGGCUGAGGGGGAUAACUUCCGGAAAGGGGCGGUAAUAACGCACACUAUCAGAUGAGCCUAGGUGGGAUUAGCUAGUGGGUGGGGUAAGGGCCUACCAAGGCGACGAUCCGUACCUGGUCUGAGAGGAUGAUUAGUCACACUGGAACGGAGACACGGUCCAGACUCCUACGGGAGGCAGCAGUGGGGAAUAUUGGACAAUGGGCGAAAGCCUGAUCCAGCCAUGCCGCGUGUGUGAAGAAGGUCUUCGGGUUGUAAAGCACUUUAAGCGGGGAGGCGUUACCAACAGAAGAAGCACCGGCUAACUCCGUGCCAGCAGCCGCGGUAAUAC